rnacentral:rRNA from 1 species
UGGGGAAUUUUCCGCAAUGGGUGAGAGCCUGACGGAGCAACGCCGCGUGAGGGAGGACGGCCUGUGGGUUGUAAACCUCUUUUCUCAGGGAAGAAGAUCUGACGGUACCUGAGGAAUCAGCAUCGGCUAACUCCGUGCCAGCAGCCGCGGUAAGACGGAGGAUGCAAGCGUUAUCCGGAAUUAUUGGGCGUAAAGCGUCCGUAGGCGGCUUAGUAAGUCUGCUGUUAAAGCCCACAGCUCAACUGUGGAUGGGCAGUGGAAACUAUUAGGCUAGAGUGUGGUAGGGGUAGAGGGAAUUCCUAGUGUAGCGGUGAAAUGCGUAGAUAUUAGGAAGAACACCAGUGGCGAAGGCGCUCUACUGGGCCAAUACUGACGCUGAUGGACGAAAGCUAGGGGAGCGAAAGGGAUUAGAUACCCGGGUAGUCC